ACGAGAAUAUUCCGCAAUGGACGAAAGUCUGACGGAGCGACGCCGCGUGAUGGAUGAAGUGCUUUGGUACGUAAACAUCUUUUAUCGGGGACGAAAUUAUUGACGGUACCCGAUGAAUAAGGAGCUCCUAACUCUGUGCCAGCAGGAGCGGUAAUACAGAGGCUCCAAGCAUUACCCGGAAUUAUUGGGCGUAAAGGGUGUCUAGGCGGUCAUAGUAGUCUCCCGUUAAAUCUGAGGGCUUAACCUUCAGGCUGCGGGGGAAACGCUAUGACUCGAGGGCGUAAGAGGUGCAUGGAACUCAUGGUGGAGGGGUGAAAUCCGUUGAUAUCAUGGGGAACACCAAAGGCGAAGGCAAUGCACUGGUACGUUCCUGACGCUCAAACACGAAAGCCAGGGUAGC
rnacentral:rRNA from 1 species